GGGCCGGGCUACCUGGGGCGUGACGCCGCCGUCCUGUCCCUGCAAGGCCUGGCCCGAUCCCGCGGGGCGACCCGGAAGGGCUGGACCCGCCAGCGACUCUCGCUAGGAUAGAAAAACUCGCUGUCCGGCCGGCCUUUCGCGCGGGCUCCUGCAGCCAGGAUGGGCCGGAAGGUGACCGUGGCCACCUGCGCGCUCAACCAGUGGGCCCUGGACUUCGAGGGCAAUUUGCAAAGGAUUUUAAAGAGUAUUGAAAUUGCGAAACACAAAGGAGCAAAAUACAGGCUUGGACCGGAGCUGGAAAUAUGCGGCUACGGAUGCUGGGACCAUUAUUAUGAGUCGGACACCCUCCUGCAUUCGCUCCAGGUCCUGGCUGCCCUUUUGGAAUCUCCGGUCACUCAGGAUAUCAUCUGUGACGUGGGAAUGCCCGUGAUGCACCGCAAUGUCCGGUACAACUGCAGGGUGAUAUUCCUCAACAGGAAGAUCCUGCUCAUUAGACCCAAGAUGGCCUUGGCCAAUGAGGGCAACUACCGGGAGCUGCGCUGGUUUACCCCGUGGUCCAGGAGUCGGCAAACAGAGGAGUAUUUUCUCCCCCGGAUGAUUCAGGACCUGACGAAGCAGGAAACCGUGCCCUUUGGGGACGCCGUGCUCUCCACCCGGGACACCUGCAUCGGGAGUGAGGUCUGCGAGGAACUCUGGACGCCCCACAGCCCGCACGUGGACAUGGGCCUGGACGGUGUGGAGAUCUUCACCAACGCCUCGGGCAGCCACCACGUGCUGCGCAAAGCCCACGCCAGGGUGGACCUCGUGACCAUGGCCACCACCAAGAACGGCGGGAUUUACCUGCUGGCCAAUCAGAAGGGCUGCGACGGGGACCGGCUCUACUACGACGGCUGCGCCCUGAUAGCCAUGAACGGCAGCAUCUUCGCCCAAGGCUCGCAGUUCUCUCUGGACGACGUGGAAGUCCUCACGGCCACGCUGGAUUUGGAGGACGUCAGAAGCUACAGGGCGGAGAUUUCCUCUCGAAAUCUGGCGGCCAGCAGGGUGAGCCCCUACCCCCGCGUGAAGGUGGACUUCGCCCUCUCCUCCCGAGAGGACUUGCUGGAGCCGCUGUCUGAGCCCAUCGAGUGGAAAUACCACAGUCCCGCCGAGGAGAUCAGGUGGGGCCCUGGCAGUGCGGUGGGUGGGGGGGUCGGGGGAAGGGUCCUGGGGUUCCCGAGGCUCCCCGUCCAUCCCCUGCUGCAGCACCGAGAGGCAGGUCGCCCUUGGACGGGACGAUGCUGCUUCGGGAUGCAGCAGCCAGCCCGCCGGGCCCAUGCCCAGCUCUGCUACUUCCUUGCCCUGCGCCCAUGGACACAAAGACGCCGUCCUUGCCUUUCUGUGCCCCCCUUCAAAACAGGGCCAGUGAUAGUGUCCACUGCCCAGGGCCAUUUUGAGACCUCAAAUGCGUUAAUUCACAUGAAAUGCCUAAAGCCGAGACUGGGGCAUCUGACAGCCCAGCCACUGCUUGCUGGCACUGCCUCCGCCUUGGCACCUGUCCCCAGGUGGGCUGCCAGGUCAGCCUCUCCCAGCCUGAUGCCUGCCAUUGUUCCCCAGCCUCGGACCUGCGUGCUGGCUCUGGGAUUUUUUAAGACGCAGCCAACAGGCGGGGUUCUUCCUGUCACUGAGCGGCGGGGUGGACAGUGCGGCCACCGCCUGCCUCGUCUACUCUAUGUGCCACCAGGUCUGCGAGGCUGUGAAGCAUGGAAAUCAGGAGGUGCUGGCAGACAUCCGGAGCAUCGUGCACCAGACCGGCUACACCCCCCGGGACCCCCGCGAGCUCUGCGGCCGCCUCCUGACCACCUGCUACAUGGCCAGCGAGAACUCCUCCCGGGGCACCUGCGACAGGGCCAGGGAGCUGGCCCAGCAGAUCGGAAGCCACCACAUCGGGCUCAGCAUCGACCCAGCGGUCAAGGCGGUGAUGGGCAUCUUCAGCCUGGUGACAGGUCGCAGCCCGGCGUUCGCGGUUCACGGGGGGAGCAGCAGGGAGAACCUGGCGCUGCAGAACGUGCAGGCACGCGUGAGGAUGGUCGUGGCUUACCUCUUUGCCCAGCUCAGCCUCUGGUCUCGGGGCGCUCCAGGCGGACUUCUCGUGCUCGGAUCUGCCAACGUGGACGAGAGCCUCCUCGGCUACCUGACCAAGUACGACUGCUCCAGCGCCGACAUCAACCCCAUAGGCGGGAUCAGCAAGACCGACCUGAGAGCCUUCGUCCAGCUCUGCAGGGAGCGCUUCCAGCUGCCCGCCCUGCAGAGCAUCUUGGAAGCACCGGCCACCGCCGAGCUGGAGCCCUUGGCCGAUGGACAGGUGUCCCAGACCGAUGAGGAGGACAUGGGGGUGACGUACUCGGAGCUGUCCGUCUACGGGAGGCUCCGGAAGGUCGCCAAGACCGGGCCCUACAGCAUGUUCUGCAGACUCCUGGUCCUGUGGAAGGACACCUGCAGCCCCCGGCAGGUGGCUGACAAAGUGAAGCGGUUUUUCUCGAAGUAUUCCGCAAACAGACACAAAAUGACCACGCUGACCCCUGCGUACCACGCUGAGAGCUACAGCCCAGACGACAACAGGUUCGAUCUUCGGCCGUUUCUGUACAACACCCGCUGGCCUUGGCAGUUCCGCUGCAUAGAAAACCAGGUCCUGCAGCUGGAGCGGGGACAGCAGCAGGAUCUGGACGGCGUGGACUGAGGGCGCCCCUCCCCCAAGGAUGCACCUGCCACUUCGGCCUCGCUGGUGACCAGGAGCCGGAGCGGCCGGCGUCGCGGCGAGCCUUUGCUGCUGCAUUUCGAGGAGAAGGGUCUUUUCAGUCCAGAUCCCUAAACAAAGCUCGAAAUAAAGGACGUGAUUGGA